rnacentral:lncRNA from 1 species
UCGGACGGUGGCGCCGGCGAUGAGGAUCGCCGCUCGGACCGUGUCGUCGCACCCAGGGAGGGCGACGAUGAGAUCGCCAUCUUCAUUUCGAGAACGUCCAAAGAAUUUGAACUCCGCCGUGUCCUAUAAUUAUUCCAUCUUGAGUAUCAUAUCAUGAUAUCGUAUCAUAUUAAAUGAUGUGUUACUAUGUAUCUUACGUGACAAUAAAUAAACUAUCUUAUAAUACUAACAUAUGAUACUAUGUAUUACGAAUGUGAUAUUAUAGACAUGAUACUUAGUAGUAUAUGAUACCACCCGUUACAACCAGCCCAAAGCAAAAAGCUACGAGAGAUGGGCUUACGGUCAUGCAACCAUCGAUCGAUCAUAGUUCCUUCCCAUUUCCUACAACGAUACAUCUGGCCAGCUGCGUUCGGGUCAAGACUCGAGACGGCCUGCGUGCACGGGAGCCGAACCGGCCCGCCCGCCGUCCGCGAGUAUCUCAGCACGGAUGGGGCAGCCGGUACGUGACAGCUAGCGCUGACCGGGUCAUAACCAAGCAGGGCAUGCAUGCAGUGUCGAGGAAGAAAAGGAAAGAAGAAUUGAUUGCUCAACCGCGGAUCCCCACAGCAGAAUUAACAGGGGCUUCGUUCGUUUCUUCUUGCUGCGCAAGCCAAGGCUCCGGCAAGUCGGGGGGAAAGUAAAUAUACUCUCGCUCUCCUCUCCAAGACACACGCGACUCUUUCUCUCCUCCAGAUCCUUCCGCUUUCCUUUUCGCUCUUGAGAGAAAACUCCCUUUCCACACGCGCCGAUCCGGUGAUCGGGACGCGCGCCUUGGCUUCUUCCUCUUCGCCCAUGGCGGGCCCUGCGACGACGACCACGACCACGACGUCUCCGCCCUGCUGAUUCGAUCGCCUUCUCCCG